GACGAACGCUGGCGGCGUGCUUAACACAUGCAAGUCGAACGGUAAGGCCCUUCGGGGUACACGAGUGGCGAACGGGUGAGUAACACGUGGGUGAUCUGCCCUGCACUUCGGGAUAAGCCUGGAAACUGGGUCUAAUACCGGAUAGGACUCCGGACUGCAUGGUCUGGGGUGGAAAGCUUUUGCGGUGUGGGAUGGGCCCGCGGCCUAUCAGCUUGUUGGUGGGGUGAUGGCCUACCAAGGCGACGACGGGUAGCCGGCCUGAGAGGGUGACCGGCCACAGUGGGACGGGGAUACGGCCCAGGCGACUACGGGGGGCAGCAGUGGGGAAUAUUGCACAAUGGGCGCAAGACUGAUGCAGCGACGCCGCGUGAGGGAUGACGGCCUUCGGGUUGUAAACCUCUUUCAGCAUCGACGAAGCGAAAGUGACGGUAGGUGCAGAAGAAGGACCGGCCAACUACGUGCCAGCAGCCGCGGUAA
rnacentral:rRNA from 1 species